rnacentral:rRNA from 1 species
AUUGAACGCUGGCGGCAUGCCUUACACAUGCAAGUCGAACGGCAGCGGGGGAGAAGCUUGCUUUUCCUGCCGGCGAGUGGCGAACGGGUGAGUAAUACAUCGGAACGUGCCCUGUAGUGGGGGAUAACUAGUCGAAAGAUUAGCUAAUACCGCAUACGACCUGAGGGUGAAAGUGGGGGACCGCAAUGCCUCAUGCUAUAGGAGCGGCCGAUGUCUGAUUAGCUAGUUGGUGGGGUAAAGGCCUACCAAGGCGGCGAUCAGUAGCUGGUCUGGGGGGACGAUCAGCCAAACUGGGAAUGAGACACGGCCAAGACUCCUACGGGAGGCAGCAGUGGGGAAUUUUGGACAAUGGGCGACAGCCUGAUCCAGCAAUGCCGCGUGUGUGAAGAAGGCCUUCGGGUUGUAAAGCACUUUUGUCCGGAAAGGAAUGGCUCUGGUUAAUACCUGGGGCCGAUGACGGUACCGGAAGAAUAAGGACCGGCUAACUACGUGCCAGCCGCCGCAGUAA